rnacentral:ribozyme from 1 species
AUAAUACUCUUACAAGUACGUAAGGGAUUUUGUGGAUCUUUUUGUAACUUUCAAGCUAAUUGUGCACAUUCUACAUAUCCAUAGCUGUCAAUUUUGAUUUUUUAAGUAUUUUGACCACAUUUAAUAUAUCAAUAA